AUUGCUUCCUGGCCUUUUGGCUAAGAUCAAGUGUAGUAACUGUUAUUAUUAACAUUAUUACUACUACUACUACUACUAUUAUUAUUAUUAUACUUUUAAAAAUCCAC
ensembl:snRNA U2 U2 spliceosomal RNA